rnacentral:rRNA from 1 species
UACGGGGGGGGCAAGCGUUGUUCGGAAUUACUGGGCGUAAAGGGCUCGUAGGCGGCCAACUAAGUCGGAUGUGAAAUCCCCAGGCUUAACCUGGGAACUGCAUCCGAUACUGGAUGGCUUGAAUCCGGGAGAGGGAUGCAGAAUUCCAGGUGUAGCGGUGAAAUGCGUAGAUAUCUGGAGGAAUACCGGGUGGCGAAGGCGGCAUCCUGGACCGGCAUUGACGCUGAGUGAGCGAAAGCCAGGGGAGCAAACGGGG